CAGUAGCCACGGUAAUACGUAGGGUGCAAGCGUUAAUCGGAAUUACUGGGCGUAAAGCGUGCGCAGGCGGUUAUAUAAGUCAGAUGUGAAAUCCCCGGGCUCAACCUGGGAACUGCAUUUGAGACUGUAUGGCUAGAGUGUGUCAGAGGGGGGUAGAAUUCCACGUGUAGCAGUGAAAUGCGUAGAGAUGUGGAGGAAUACCGAUGGCGAAGGCAGCCCCCUGGGCCAAUACUGACGCUCAUGCACGAAAGCGUGGGGAGCAAACAGGAUUAGAUACCCCUGUAGUCCCUGUCUCUUAUAA
rnacentral:rRNA from 1 species